rnacentral:lncRNA from 1 species
CAGCACUUGGCUCUUAACCAGGAGCUGAAGACUUGCUUCUCCCUUUCCUUUCUUCCCGUGACCUCUUCUGACAUGUCCAGUUCGAAAUUGCAAUUUUUCUAACUUUGAGAUUUAAGAAAUUUUCUUAAACUUUAUAAAAGAACAAAUACAGACAACUGAAAACAAAUUAACGCUUGGCUUUUUUUUUUUUUUUUUUUUUGAGACAGUGUCUCACUCUGCUGCCCAGGCUUGCCUAGGCUGAAGUGCAGUGGCGCGAUCUCGGCACACUGCAACCUCCGCCUCCCAGGUUCAAGUGAUUCUCCUGCCUCAGCCGCCUGAGUAGCUGGGAUUACAGGCAUGCGCCGCCAUGCCCAGCUAAUUGUUGUAUUUUUAGUAGAGACGGGGUUUUUCCGUGUUGGCCAGGCUGUUCUCAAACUCCUGACCUCAGGUGAUCUGCUCGCCUCGGCCUUCCAAAGUGCUGGGGUUACAGGCAUGAGCCACCGCCCCUGGCCUAACACUUGACUUUUAAGGGGCCAAUAUCACUGUGAUUCUAAAAUUUAAGGAGAUGUUAAUGCCGGCCUCUGCAACUACACUUGGAAGAUCCUUCCCAGCAACUGACAACUUGGCCCCUCCACCCCUCCUUCCAGACCUUCCGUGGACACCCUUAAUCACUGCAAGAGCAGCCUGUGCCGUGCUUGGUGAGAUGAGGGCUCCUGUCAACUCCCCCACUGUGGCAGAUUGGAUUGUACCUUCUGAAGACGGCCAAAAUAACAGCUCCCAUCCCGCAUGCUCUUCUGCCAUGGGACUUGCUGCUCUCCCACCGAGAGGUGACAAGGUAGCACAUUUGUACAUAAUAAGGCUGGCCUGGGGAUGGAGGGAGUCCCUGCCCUGACUGUGACUCAGUGAGACUCUUUGCCUGGUCCUAGUCCAAGAGAAACGCAUGCUAUGAUCUCACUGAAGUCUGAAGUGACUCUGAAACUUUGCAGUAAAAAGAAAAUUUCAUCCUUUAAGAUGAGUGGCCCUGGAACCACGGCAGCCAUAUUGCCACCAGCUGGAAGACGAAGCCAACGGUGGGAGAAGACAGAGCUGGUCGAAUCCCCCAGGAGUAAAAUGCAGCCUGUAGUACCCUUCCUGGAUUGUAUCUUACUUGGAGUCUUCUUGUUCUGGGAGGCAAUAAAUUUCUUUGUUAUUUAAGCCAUGAUGAAUCAGCGUUUUCAAUUAUUUGCAGCCAAAAGCAUCCUAAGCAAUAGCCAAGUAUGCAUGGAAGUUCAUGCACUUCUCUCACAGAACAUUAUGUCAGACAUUUAGUUCUAGGAAACAGGCUUAUCUGAUUUCUCAGUUCUAGGAAGCAGGCUUAUCUGAUUUCCUAGUUUCUGGCAGAUUAGAAAUAACUUUCUCUAUUCUCUAGAAAUAGAGAAAGUUAGAGACAGGCA